rfam:Brassica napus, WGS project CCCW01000000 data, contig: 28570
UACCAAUGAUGGAAUUCAAAUAAAUCAUCAGAUCUGAUGUGUAACAACAUAUGUGAUUACAAUCUUGAUGCUGAGGUA